UAUCACUACUGAGUGGAUUACUGUGAAAUCCAUCGGAUUUUCCAUGCCCACAUCUGGUAUUUGAUGUGCUCUAUGAGAGAUGUCUGAAUGGGAGUAGCCUAUCAUAGCUGAGCAUCUCAGCCCCCAAGGUCCUUUUUCAAAACUGAGUCUAAAAUCAGACCUGAGUCCAUUUGAAGUGACAGGCAGAUUUAAAGUUGUGUCUGAUCCACUCGCUUUACUGUUUGUUGAGUCAAGUUCCAACUGUGCUGGUAUGGGAACAUCCUGAACCUCCCUCAUCCUUGCUACUCUCUGGAAUGAGAUAUGGAAUGAGAGACUUGGAUUUAUCAGGAUAUAGGACCUGAACAUGAAGACUCAGAAACAAGAGUGCUACCAAUUAAACGAGGGCUGAAAUUCAAAAGAAACUUUUCCUAAAUUGCCUAUUGGAUUUAUUAGUGACUAUCUUAUUCUCGUCUUAUCCGUAAAUGGAAGUGGCUGCCUCAACUUUACCUUUCUGAUCCGUUUCACAACAACUUAAUGAGAUCGACUCACAGGGAAAUAAACUUCUCUGAGUGAAAGAUGUCACGCCUGUUCAAUUGUUGAAACAUUUCAGUUUUGUUAUCAUUCUUUUUGGAUAAGUGUAGCCUCAACAUUGU